AAAGUCUGACCUGCCCAAUGAUAUUAUUAAAUGGCUGCGGUAUCCUGACCGUGCAAAGGUAGCAUAAUAAUUAGUUUUUUAAUUGAGAACUGGUAUGAACGGUCGAACGAGAAAAAAGCUGUCUCGGUUUAAUUUUUAUUAGAAUUUUAUUUUUAAGUAAAAAAGCUUAAAUAAUCUUAAAAGACGAGAAGACCCUAUAGAGUUUUAUAUUUUAUUUUAUACUUGAGCGUUAAAGUAUCUUAGUUUGGGUAUAUUAUAAAGUAUUUGAUUGGGGCGAUUAAAAAAUUGAAAGAACUUUUUUUAUAUGUUUACAUUGAUAUAUGAAUAAGUGAUCCA
rnacentral:rRNA from 1 species